GGGCGCAAGCCUGACGGAGCAAGACCGCGUGGGGGAUGACGGCCUAAUGGUUGUAAACCCCUUUUCUCUGGGAAGAUGAUGACGGUACCAGAGGAAUCAGCCUCGGCUAACUCCGUGCCAGCAGCCGCGGUAAUACGGAGGAGGCAAGCGUUAUCCGGAAUUAUUGGGCGUAAAGCGUCCGUAGGUGGUUGUUCAAGUCUGCUGUUAAAGCGUGGGGCUCAACUCCAUAGAGGCAGUGGAAACUGGGUAACUAGAGUGCGGUAGGGGUCGAGGGAAUUCCCAGUGUAGCGGUGAAAUGCGUAGAUAUUGGGAAGAACACCAGUGGCGAAAGCGCUCGACUGGGCCUGCACUGACACUGAGGGACGAAAGCUAGGGGAGCGAAAGGGAUUAGAUACCCCUGUAGUCCUAGCCGUAAACGAUGGAUACUAGGUGUUGCUCGUUAUCGACCCGAGCCGUGCCGAAGC
rnacentral:rRNA from 1 species